AACACUUCCUCACGAUCGCUUUUCUUUGAGACUGAAAUGGGUUUGAUGAAAUUAUAAUUUCACCUUAAAAAAUGAAAACAAUUUUAAAAAAAAAAUAAUUAAGGGAACGCAUGAACUGAAGAAAAAUAGUCAGAAAAUGAAAAAAGAAACUGAGAUAUUAUUUUUCUUCUUCUUCUUCUUCUUUUUUUAAAUUCACAAAGGAAAGCUGAGAUUUAGCAGCAAAUUAAAAAAAGGAACGAAACGACAGAUCGAAAACGAAAACCUGAUUCCACAUAAUCUCCAUAAUGCAAUCGAACGAAACGACAUCGUCGAGUCUCUGGUGCCGCUAGCUCGCCGGAUUCGGAGCAUCAUUAUUGGCCACCGCCGGCGGAGCAGGAGGCCUUGCGGCUACCGGAUCAGCGCUGCGGCUCUGCUGCGUUGGUCGAGUAAGAAGAGUACUCGAGUGCGGACCACCAGAUUCGACCGUCGAUCCCGGUCCAACUGGCGGUGGGGGGUCGGAGAGGUAAUCGGCGGGCAUGAAAACGCCCUGCGAAGGCCUCCUCUGGUGCCUGCUGGGUCGCUGCGACAUUUUACGGUGAGAUUUGGGAAUGGAGAAGAACAAAGGGGCGGAAACAGAGAGAGAAAUAGUGAGAGUUCGCCGGCGUAACGGUAGAGUUGACUGCUUUUUCUUUUCUUUUCUUUUCUCUUUUUCUAUACGUUUUAGUUUGGUUUGUUUGAUGACUUCUCGAUCUAAGCGAGUCAAACUUAUAAUGCCAUCCUACAAUUUCCAACCUCUUCAUUUUUUACCCCUCACUGUUUCAUCCAUUGAUUUACUUCGACUUUAGUUCAAUUCGCAUCAAAAUGUAUUAAAAAAAUAUUUAACUAUAAUAUAAAAUCGUCUUAGAUUAAUAUUAUUAUAUAAUAUAUAGUAUUUUGAAUUUUGCCUCCUUAAGUCUAUUACUUCAUUUAUUAUUUAAUUUUUGUUUCAAUUUUAUCUUUAUACUUUUCGAAUUUAAAC
rnacentral:lncRNA from 1 species